CUGCCGCCCUCUCAGAAAGACGCUUACGAGCAGGCGUAGAACAUGAUGGACAUUCCCAGAAAAUCCCCCGAUCUCAUGAUCCCUUGCUCACAGCUGCAAAAUCUUUACCACAGGGAAUACCAUGCAGGACACAGUGGAAAGGUGACCAUCUCAAGCCAGGAAGAGAAGCCUCACUGCCACCGACGCUGCUGGCACCUUGACCUUGGACUUCCAGCUUCCAGAACUGGAGAAAUAAAUUGUUGUGUAAGCCA